UCUGAUCCCACUCAGUUUGCUGAGAAUUUUGUCACUGACUACAGUGGAAUGAUGAUCCUGGAGUACUAAGAAAAACAACAUUUGGCAUUGGUGCUCAGGGCAUGCAAUAGUUCAGUCUUAUAUUCUGCACUUUGUGGAUAACUGCUGCAUCAAGGAACCUCUGAAAGCCAUCUGCAACACUACUAACUUGGGGCAGGGUGAUGGAAGUUGGCUGGCUGCAGGUCUCAGCGAUGAUGGGGAAUACCUGCUGGAUUUAGUGGAGAAGGCAAGCUGUAAGCACUGCUCACCAUCCUGC